ensembl:miRNA
UCUGCCACUGGGCAUCCAUCAUCAUUCGCUGGGCAUUUGCUGAGUACCGCCAUGUCUGUUGGGCAUCCACAGUCUCCCACCAGCCAUUGUGGUCUCUGCUGGUGCUCUGCCAUUUCACCACCAGUGCCUUCCAUGAGAA